GCCCUAGUAGCUCAGCUGGUAGAGCGCGGGUUUCGUAAACCCGAGGUCGGGGGUUCGAUCCCCCCCUAGGGCU
rnacentral:tRNA from 1 species